UACGUAGGUGACCAGCGUUGUCCGGAUUUACUGGGCGUAAAGAGCGCGCAGGCGGUCGUUCAAGUCGAGUGUGAAAGCCCCCGGCUCAACUGGGGAGGGUCAUUCGAUACUGAUCGACUUGAAGGCAGGAGAGGGAAGUGGAAUUCCCGGUGUAGUGGUGAAAUGCGUAGAUAUCGGGAGGAACACCAGUGGCGAAGGCGACUUCCUGGCCUGUUCUUGACGCUGAGGCGCGAAAAGCUAGGGGGAGCAAACGGGG
rnacentral:rRNA from 1 species